rnacentral:rRNA from 1 species
UUGUAAUUGGGGUGGCUCAUAAUAACUUUGCGGAUCACAAUUAAUGUGACAUAUCAUUCAAGUUUCUGACCUAUCAGCUUUAGACGGCAGGGUAUUGGCCUACCGGGGCAAUGACGGGUAACGGGGAAUUAGGGUUCGAUUCCGGAGAGGGAGCCUGAGAAACGGCUACCACAUCUAAGGAAGGCAGCAGGCGCGCAAAUUACCCAAUCCUAAUACAGGGAGGUAGUGACAAGAAAUAACAAUACAGGACUUUUUGGUUUUGUAAUUGGAAUGAGUUAAGUAUAAACCCCUUUACAAGUAUCAAUUGGAGGGCAAGUCUGGUGCCAGCAGCCGCGGUAAUUCCAGCUCCAAUAGCGUAUAUUAAAGUUGUUGCAGUUAAAAAGCUCGUAGUUGGAUUUCUGUUAAUAAUUUAUAUAAAAUAUUUUGAUGAAUAUUUAUAUAAUAUUAACAUAAUUCAUAUUACUAUUUUUUUUAUUAUAUGAAAUUUUAUUUUGUGAAAAUUAUAGUGCUUCAAAAAGGCAUAUGCCUUGUUUACUCCUCCAUGGAAUAAUAUUAAAGAUUUUUUUCUUUCUUAUUGGUUGUACGAUAAGAAUAAUGAUUAUUAGGGACAGUUGGGGGAGUUUGUAUUUUUCAACCAGAGGAGAAAUUCUUAUAUUUGUUGUAAACAGACUAAUGCGAAAGAAUUUGUCGCGGAUGUUUUUUUCAUUCAACAACAACAGUUAUGGGAUCAAAGACGAUCAGAUACUGUCGUAGUCUUAACCACCAACUAUGCCUACUAGAGAUUGUAGGAUGUUCCCUCCCUCCUUAU